CCCAAACCGAGUCUGCCAAGGCUAUUAAAAAGUUAUAUACUCAUAAAUCAUGUUUUUAUUUAGAAAAUAUAGUCGUUCCUUAGCGUUGAUUGAGUUCCCCCUCAUGUGGUGGUUUGGCGUGAAAUGAACUCUAAAAGUUAUACCUCGAAAGUUACCCUACUCACCUCUCCAACCGAGGUAAAAUAUGUCAAGAUUCCGUGCCCCUCUAAUAGGCUAGUCCACAGAACCCAACCCACUACAGCAAGCAAUACCCACCAUACAAUAAAAUUUUGACAGCAUGACAGGGUUAAUUUAAUACUACCGAGCCUACAAAUGUAAAAUAGAACAAUUCAUACAAUUCACAAAAACUACAACCCAACCAGUCAUGCCAACACAUUAACAUAAGCCAUUUAUUCAAAUCAUAAAUUUACAACAUAUCAAUGGUAUCCAAUUACUCUAUUUUUCAAAAUCAUUAUUCAAUUUCAAGACAAUUUAUAAAAUCAUUUCGUUUAAACACAUUUUGUUUAUAAAACAUAAAGAUUUGCCAUUGAAACUCAUUUUUCAUAAAAUCAUAAAAUCGGAUAAAAAUCACUUUAGAUAAUUAAGAUGAUAGUAAGGUUACUCACUAUUUCAGGAGUCGAAUUUUCUUGCCCUUGUCGAAGGACUCACCACCUUGACAUAGUACAAAAUCGAGAAACUUAUUACAUUGAUACUAAAUCAAAAUUAAACUAAUUUAGACUAAUGCAUGAUAUGGAAUGCAAAAUGUCCGACUAAUCGCUUAAAUUUGAUAUUCGACCUAAGUCACACUAUACUCGGUCUAAUCGACUAAAAUCUCCAAUUUAACUCAAAUCAAUUCUUCUCACUUUCUACACUCCAAUUAUACCUAAAUUACCUCAGCGACUAUGAAUGAGAUUCAAUUUAUCAGUCCCGAGUCAAUAAUCACACAUGUCUAUACAUUGAGCAAAAAUUCAGAUUUUCACACCAAAAUUUCCCAUGUAAUUUCUAACCUCACCAAACAUCAAAUAUCACCAAAAUAUCAUGAAAUAUCAUCAAUUUCAGCCUCAAUAUUCUCCCUAGAAAAUUCGGCCUCUUAUGGGUAAUGGGAGAAAAUGAAUUUUUCUUGUUGGCUUUUCUUGCUACACAUCACUAACUAACUAAAAACACUAACAUAACUUGAAAUCAAAUCAAUCCAACAUCAUUCUCUCUCCAUACCCAUUCGGCCAGCCAUGAAUUCACCAUGAAAACAUAAAAUUUAACCAUGGAAAAUAAGGAAAAAUGCAUGCGAAAGGUAGAUCACAAGUCAAAAUCAAUAAAUUUUACCUUUGAUUGCUUGAUUACUUGAAAUCCACCAAAUUUCCCUUGAUUUUUUCCACCUAGGGUUCUUGUUCUUCUUUUCUUCCUUUGUUCUUCCUUUUGUUUUCCUUUGGCAGGCCAUAUGAAGAAAAUGGGCUGAUUUUGUGCUAAAUUUAAAGUUAAAUGAUAAAUGGUUAUAAACUUGACACAUGUCACCUUAUUAUUGGUCCAUGUGUCAUUUCUUAACUAUUAAGCUUUCUCUCUCCACCAUAUAAAUUCCUUCAAUUAUCCAUGAUAAUAUUGGAUUAAAUCCAUGUGCUCGACAAGUGUUGGCUGUGUAAAAUUAUAAUUUUGCCCAUAGGGUGGCAAAAUUACCAUUUUACCCCUAUGUUCGAAAAAUUACCGGAAUUACAAUUUUUCACUUCUCAACCUCAAAUCAUACUCCAAUAAGUCAAAUGUGAUCAAAAUCUUUCAAAAAAUUUCCCAUUUUGUGCUCGAGUGGCAAAAUUACCAUUUUACCCCUAGAUAGUGAAAUUUUCGAUUUGACUCCAAAUUAAUCCUCAAACUCCAAAUCACCAUUUUAAAUCAUUCCUGAACUGCAAAAUUUUCAAUUUCACCCUAUAAUUUUUAUUUGAUCUAGUUCGAGGCUUAAAUCAACUUUGUUGUACCUCUAGGUACAUUACCGACUUUUGUAAAUUUUUCGGGACUCUCCUUGCAUGGAAACAUGCUAUCCAUCACAUUUAUGUCCUGUCAAGCAUUUUAUAAGGUCAGGCUUUACAGCACUACCCCUUUUAAAAUAAAAUUAUGACCUCAAAAUUUCAUUUACUGAACUUAGAGAAAAUGUGGGGGUAUUGUUUUCUCAUCUAAUGCUCGACUUCUUAUAUCCUCCCCUUUAUAGGGAAUUGCAAUUUGUUCACCUCAUUUACCUCCAAUUCAACUCGAGUACUUCACUUAUGUCUAUUAUUAUCCUUUAAAAUUAGACCUAUAGUAACAUUUACAUUAUGAUCUCUUAUAUCAAAACAUCAAGCAUGCUUCUAUUACUAUCAUUAAACUUGAACCAUAACUCCAUCUCAAUCAUGCCAAUUUCGAUAGCAUUGUAUACUUAUUUAGAUAUACCAAUCACUAUCUUACUUCUUCAUUCCAUAUCCAAUUUCUCAACUUUCAUUCAUUCAUUCCUAUCCUUAUAGACUAUUGUGUAGUUUAUGGCAUCAUUAACAUGCCAUACUCAUUCUUGUACAUAUCCUCUUGUGCUUAUCAUGUAUAACUUAUAAUUCUUUCUCAAAGAUGUUUAAACAUUCUUGAAACACUUAAUCACUUAUUUGCUCCUUUAUACACCAAGUAUAUCAUUUCCAUAAAGGCAUGCCCAACUACUCAUGCUUCAAUUUAUCUCCAAGGGUUUCUAGCAUGUCACCUAGUUUACUUGUGUUGUUACUAAUCCUUUCCUUUCAACAAGGUCAAGACAAGAUCAGUAUAUUCUCAUAACAAUAUUCUAUAUCAACUCAUUUGCUAUAUCAUUAUUGAAAUCUUUAUUUACAUUUUCCUCACUUGGUAUUGACAUCUCUUAUCAGUAUCUCAUACAUUCAUCUAACCUUUCGCUCACUUCCUCAUUAGUCUUUAACAAGACUUAAUCUCUUGUCUUCCUUAUUUCUUAAGAUUUGACUUCAGUCAUCAUAUUAUUCAUCUUAACACUCCACAUGUUAAUUUAUUUUUAUGUAGCCAUCUCAAAAACUCUCUAACUUUUCUUUCUUUUACAUGCCAAUAUAUAAGGCAAUAAAGAAACUUUGCAAUUUCACUCAUCAUCUUUAUCUUAAUACCUCCCCAAUGCACUUAAAAUUCCAAACAACAAAGCUUAGCAUCAAAACCAAUGACCAUUCUUCAACUCGUGAGUUCAUCUUCAUGCCACUCUCAAUUUGCUCAUGCUUUCUAGCCAUUAGGGGUUUUUAACGCGACAGCGUUUGAUAGUCAGUACUGUGGUGUUGCAACUGUUUGAAUUCACUUUAUCCCAGCAACUUUUCUACCUUUAAAGCUACUACCUCAAUUAUUCACAAUCAUGUGGCUUCCCUCUAAGUCUAUACCACAAUUAGCAAGACUAACUUUCUAUCACAAUUACGUGAUCAGAACAUUGAUUUAACGUAUUUAUUUUGCCACUAUCAUUCCUGUAUCUUUACCAUAACAUUUAGUACAAGUUUGCUUAAGCAAAAAUAUUCAAAUCUAUUCAUAGCUACAUGUAUCUCAGAUUGCACAUCACUUAUCAUCAGUCAACAAAUUCCACUUGAGAAUACUCUUUCCAUAUUGUAUAGUGACUUCACCAUAUAGUAUCACAGCACUAUGUUCCUCCAUUAUACUAUCACGCAUACUCCACAGAAAUUAAUUAAAAGAUUUACGUACCUUAACUAAUGGUAAUUCCUUUUAAUCAUAUCUUAAAUACUCUAAACUUGUAAAUUACAACUCCAAGUGUAUGUCCAUUUAUUGAUAAUCUUUAUAUAUUUCAUAAUCACGAAAACUACAACUUACAAACUAGCUUUCUAUCAUAUGCACUUUAUUAGUACACUAAUUUCCACAUAUUUAACCUACCCUUGGUGGUAUGUUAAAAUCAUCCCUGUCUCGGUGGUAAUCCAGAGGAAUCUCUCCUCUACGUAUCCGUACGAGCUGGUGGAGAUGGGGAAACUACCGUAGCCCGUCUUAACUGUGGGCAAGUACUCCUAAUAUGACCCUGCUGACCACAAUAAAAACAUCGUGCAAGCCCCCUACACAGCCCCACAUGAUAAUUCCCACAAUUUCUGCAUCUAUCAGAACCUCCGGAACUCUUCCCAGAAAUAGUCAUCGCAGAUCUGUUAAAUCUCAAAGACCUCUGCUGUGUCUGUAAAAAUGGAGGUUGGAAAGAUGUUACUGAAACAGUAGUAGUACUUCCUGAAACAGAGGAGUAUUUGCCCCUUUUUGGUAGCUGACUAGAAGAUACACUCAAAUUUCUCCUUUUUGUUAACUCAACUCGCAGACUCCUAUUUUCAUUCGCAAGCUUCUCAGUUCUUAAAGCCAUUUGCACCACCUCUUUAGCUACGAUUGCAUCUGAUUCACCCAUAAAAGAAGUGCAACCAUGUUGCCUAGCCUCUUUAAACUUCUUAGAAUUAGAAACAUCCCACACUGGUGGUGGGAUAGAAGGCGGGGGUGGUGGUAUUGAAGGAGCAGCUGGAGGAACUAUAGGAAGAGUUUGACCAGCCUAAGCCUGGCCAGCAAUAGCAGUAACGAAGGCUGCCAAUGCCUGAACCACCUCAGGAGGCAUGGUAGGAAUACUAGUAGGUAGUGGAGGAGGCGCAGGAUGUGGAGGAGUCUCUAUCUGUUCAGCAGCAGGUGCUGCCCGAAUAGCAGACGCAGUCGAUUCCCUCUCUAUAGGAUUUAGCUGACUAUGUUGGGAACGACCUCUUCCCCUCCCAACCAAUCUAGUGAGAGGUGGGUGUUCGUGUCGAGGAGGCAUGAUAAUCUAUAAGGGGAAACAAAGUGAGUUUAGGUCACCUCAGGCUCUAUAUGCUGAUACAUGUAUUCUAUUCAACCUAACCUAACUUAACUCGAGACCACACUGACACUGUAAAAUUUUUAAAAUAUCUUUAAAAUCAAAAACUAUUAUCUUUAAAACCAAAAGCUCUGAUAUCAAUUGAAUUGUCACGACCCAGAACUCUCCUCGAGCCCAUGACAACCGCCACGAUGCCCAGAUCGACACUCAUUACCCGAAAUGUCAACCGGAACCCUACAAGGCUUUAAUAUCAGCUUCUCAUUUCCCCUAUGAGUAACCGUCGCCAAAUAUCACGUUUUAAAAGAUUUUAAGCUAUUUCCAACUUAAAACAAAUAAAAUAAUAAUUUUCGUCUCACAGAGGUAUUUUGGUCAUUUUUUAAAAAAUUUUUGAAACUGGUUAUAAUGUAAUAUACAAGUACAAAACACAUAAUUCAUUAUCAAAAUGAGUUUAAAAGUCUAAAAUCUUCAUUUAAAACCAAAUUAUGAUUAUUUGGAUAUAAUAAGAAAAUAAAAUGAAUAUUAAGCAAAAUAUUCUAUUUUCUUAUAAAACAAUAUUUUUAGAACAUUGCGUAAAUAAUUUUUAUAGCGUAAAAGCAAAAUAAAUGCAUACAUGUUGUAAUACAAAUAACUAAAGUAUAAAAUUUAAUUUACAGUGACACGUGAGCCCACAAAUGACUAAAAGUAUCAAAAGAAAUGAACCUACAGUUUUUGGAUGUGGCAAGUCCAACUGUAGUCCUCGCCGAUAUCAGUUAUCUACAAUCUAUUUUGAGCCUGAAAUGGGUGGAAAUGAGGGUGGUAAGAUUAUAAAAUUUUAGUGAGUAAACAAAUACCAUCUAAAAUAUCUAAAGUCGAGUAAAUGGAGAAAGAUAAAAUAAAUCAUCAUACUUUAAUUUAUCAUAUUUCAACUCAUUUCAACCAAAUAAAAUUCAAUUCAUUUAAAUCGAGUAAUCAAUAUGGCUUAUGAAUUUCUUAAAACUUUGCUCAUGCCAAAAAUUAUUCUCAUACUUAGUUAUCAAGGAUACCUUGGCCGAGAGCUAUCCUAAACCGAGUUCGCCAAGGCUAUUAAAAAGUUAUAUACUCAUAAAUCAGGUUUUUAUUUAGAAAAUAUAGUCAUUCUUUGGCGUUGGUCGAGUUCCCCCUCAUGUGGUGGUUUGGCGUGAAGUGAACUCUAAAAGUUAUGCCUCGGGAGUUACCCUACUCGCCUCUCCAACAGAGGUAAAACAUGUCAGGAUUCCGUGCCCCUCUAAUAGGCUAGUCCACAGAAC
rnacentral:lncRNA from 1 species